rnacentral:rRNA from 1 species
GGCUCAGGAUGAACGCUAGCUACAGGCUUAACACAUGCAAGUCGCGGGGUAACAUCUGGUAGAGCUUGCUCUUCCAGGAUGACGACCGGCGCACGGGUGAGUAACGCGUAUCCAACCUGGCCCAUACCACGGGAUAGCCCGUCGAAAGGCGGAUUAAUACCGUAUGCUGUCAUUAAGAUGCAUAUAUUGAUGACGAAAGGACUGGCGGUAUGGGAUGGGGAUGCGUCUGAUUAGCUUGUUGGCGGGGUAACGGCCCACCAAGGCGACGAUCAGUAGGGGUUCUGAGAGGAAGGUCCCCCACAUUGGAACUGAGACACGGUCCAAACUCCUACGGGAGGCAGCAGUGAGGAAUAUUGGUCAAUGGGCGCAGGCCUGAACCAGCCAAGUCGCGUGAGGGAAGACGAUCCUACGGAUUGUAAACCUCUUUUGUCGGGGAGUAACGUGCGGGACGCGUCCCGUAUUGAGAGUACCCGAAGAAAAAGCAUCGGCUAACUCCGUG